rnacentral:rRNA from 1 species
GACGAACGCUGGCGGCGUGCUUAACACAUGCAAGUCGAACGGAAAGGCCCUGCUUUUGUGGGGUGCUCGAGUGGCGAACGGGUGAGUAACACGUGAGUAACCUGCCCUUGACUUUGGGAUAACUUCAGGAAACUGGGGCUAAUACCGGAUAGGAGCUCCUGCUGCAUGGUGGGGGUUGGAAAGUUUCGGCGGUUGGGGAUGGACUCGCGGCUUAUCAGCUUGUUGGUGGGGUAGUGGCUUACCAAGGCUUUGACGGGUAGCCGGCCUGAGAGGGUGACCGGCCACCUUGGGACUGAGAUACGGCCCAGACUCCUACGGGAGGCAGCAGUGGGGAAUAUUGCACAAUGGGCGGAAGCCUGAUGCAGCAACGCCGCGUGCGGGAUGACGGCCUUCGGGUUGUAAACCGCUUUCGCCUGUGACGAAGCGUGAGUGACGGUAAUGGGUAGAGAAGCACCGGCUAACUACGUG